GGAGAUUUAGCUCAGUGGUAGAGCGCUUGCCUAGCAAGCGCAAGGCCCUGGGUUCAGUCCCCAGCUCUG
rfam:Rattus norvegicus chromosome 16, whole genome shotgun sequence.